rnacentral:rRNA from 1 species
ACGAAGGUGGCAAGCGUUACUCGGAAUUACUAGGCGUAAAGCGCAGGUAGGUGGUUGUGUAAGUCUGCUGUGAAAGCUCCCGGCUUAACUGGGAGAUGUCAGCGGAUACUGCAUAGCUAGAGUGUGGGAGAGGGUACUGGAAUUCCCGGAGUAGCGGUGAAAUGCGCAGAGAUCGGGAGGAACACCAAAGGCGAAAGCAGGUACCUGGACCAUUACUGACACUAAGCUGCGAAAGCUAGGGGAGCAAACAG